GAUGAACGCUGGCGGCGUGCCUAAUACAUGCAAGUCGAGCGAACAGACGAGGAGCUUGCUCCUCUGACGUUAGCGGCGGACGGGUGAGUAACACGUGUAUAACCUACCUAUAAGACUGGGAUAACUUCGGGAAACCGGAGCUAAUACCGGAUAAUCUAUUGAACCGCAUGGUUCAAUAGUGAAAGACGGUUUUGCUGUCACUUCUAGAUGGAUCCGCGCCGCAUUAGCUAGUUGUUAAGGUAACGGCUUACCAAGGCAACGAUGCGUAGCCGACCUGAGAGAGGGAUAGGCCACACGGGAACUGGGACACGGUCAAGACUCCUACGGGAGGCAGCAGUAGGGAAUCUGCCGCAAUGGGCGAAAGCAUGACGGAGCAACGCCGCGUGAGUGAUGAAGGUCUUCGGAUCGUAAAACUCUGUUAUUAGGGAAGAACAAAUGUGUAAGGAACUAUGCACGUCGUGACGGUAACGAAUCAGAAAGCAACGGCUAACUACGUG
rnacentral:rRNA from 1 species